rnacentral:rRNA from 1 species
UACGGGGGGAGCAAGCGUUGUUCGGAUUUACUGGGCGUAAAGCGCGCGCAGGCGGCCCGCGAGGUGUCACGUGAAAGCCCCGGGCUCAACCCGGGAGGGUCGUGGCAAACCGGCGGGCUUGAGGCCGGUAGAGGUGGGUGGAACUCCUGGUGGAGUGGUGAAAUGCGUAGAGAUCAGGAAGAACACCCGUGGCGAAGGCGGCCCACUGGGCCGGUACUGACGCUGAGGCGCGAAGGCGUGGGGAGCGAACGGG